UUUUUUUAUAACUUUUACAUCUUUCCUUUUUUUUAUUUCUUCCCUUUUUUUUCUUUUUUUUUUUUUACUCAAACAAGCUUUCAUUAGUUAUCCGGUGGAUUUGAUCUCAUCGAAAUGGAUGAACUUCCCUCUAUAUCUCAUAUCUCAUUAUUGAGCUUAUUGAUACUUCUAGGGUGCUUUGGUUUAGAGUUUGACUGUGUGUGCAUAUGGAUACAAAAAUCCACGAGAAGAUUCUGAGGAAAGCACAUAGUUUCCCUUAUAAAAUACAUCCUGGAGGUACUAAGAUAUAUAAGGAUUUAUAAGUGCAAUGCUAAUCCUUCAAUUUGGAUAAUAGGAGUAAUGUUAUCUAUUUACAAAAACAUAAAUAGGAAAGACUUCUUUAAAAAAAAAUAAUCCUAUAAAAAUUUUUAAUUUGUCAAAUAACUCAUCUAAAAUUCUAUUUGGCCAACUAACCCUUCUUUUGCCAACUCGGUACUAUAUUGGACAAAAAUGACGUUUUUACGUCUUUAGAAAGCGAUGAAUCCUUCACUAUUUUUAUCUUAUUAUUAUCGCUUUUUUAUAUAGGUUGUGCGAAUUUUUGCGAGCUUGUUAGGAUUAUAUGUAAAUUAUUAGAAUUUUUGCUUGAUUGUUAGGAUUGUAUGGUAGGUUGUUAGGAUUUAUUAGGUUUAAUAUUGAAUGCGAUUUAUUGAAAUUUGUAUACAAUUGUUAGGAUUAUAUAUAAAAAACAAUAAUGAAUGAUAAAUCAUUCACAAAUGAAAUGUGGACUUGAGUGUACAUGAGGACAUAUUGGUAGAGACAUACAAUUGAGUUAAUUGAUUAUAGACCUUGACAUCCAUAUAUGGUACCCCACCUUGAGUAGUUGUGAGAGAUUCUAUAUUUUAGACAUGAUAAUUGGGGACGAUUGUCUCAGAUUAGAUACUUAUGAUUAUGCUUGUUGGCCAUUGUGCUCAUUUGCACAAGCUUGUGAGAGUCGCUCCCUACAAGCCGGCACUCCGGAGUUAGCCCAUGCUACAGAUGCUCGCCCAUGCUGGAUUGGGUGCCUACUGGAUCGCCAUGGGACAGGCUCAUUCCUAGAGGAAAA
rnacentral:lncRNA from 1 species